rnacentral:rRNA from 1 species
GUCUACAGCCAUGCCACCUUGAACGUGCCCGAUACCCGUUUGAUCUCGGAAGCUUAGCAGGGUUGGGCCUGGUUAGUACUUAGAUGGGAGACUACCUAGGAAUACCAGGUGCUGUAGGCG